CGGGUGAGUAACACGUGGGCAACCUGCCCUGAAGCGGGGGAUAACAUCUGGAAACAGGUGCUAAUACCGCAUAACAACGAAAACCACAUGGUUUUCGUUUCAAAGAUGGUUUCGGCUAUCACUUCAGGAUGGGCCCGCGGUGCAUUAGCUAGUUGGUAAGGUAACGGCUUACCAAGGCGAUGAUGCAUAGCCGAGUUGAGAGACUGAUCGGCCACAAUGGAACUGAGACACGGUCCAUACUCCUACGGGAGGCAGCAGGU
rnacentral:rRNA from 1 species